CCUACGGGGUGCAGCAGUGGGGAAUAUUGGACAAUGGGCGAAAGCCUGAUCCAGCCAUGCCGCGUGUGUGAAGAAGGCCUUCGGGUUGUAAAGCACUUUCAGUGGGGAAGAAAGCCUUGGGGCUAAUACCCUCGAGGAGGGACAUCACCCACAGAAGAAGCACCGGCUAACUCCGUGCCAGCAGCCGCGGUAAUACGGAGGGUGCGAGCGUUAAUCGGAAUUACUGGGCGUAAAGCGCGCGUAGGCGGUCUGAUAAGCCGGUUGUGAAAGCCCCGGGCUCAACCUGGGAACGGCAUCCGGAACUGUCAGGCUAGAGUGCAGGAGAGGAAGGUAGAAUUCCCGGUGUAGCGGUGAAAUGCGUAGAGAUCGGGAGGAAUACCAGUGGCGAAGGCGGCCUUCUGGACUGACACUGACGCUGAGGUGCGAAAGCGUGGGUAGCAAACAGGAUUAGAUACCCUGGUAGUC
rnacentral:rRNA from 1 species